GACGAACGCUGGCGGCGUGCUUAACACAUGCAAGUCGAACGAGACGAUUGAAAGCUUGCUUUUGAAAGUUGAGUGGCAAACGGGUGAGUAACGCGUAGACAACCUGCCUUUGAGAUGGGGACAACAGUUCGAAAGGACUGCUAAUACCGAAUGUUGUAUAUUUUCCACAUGGAAGAUAUAUUAAAGAUGGCCUCUAUUUAUAAGCUAUCGCUCAAAGAUGGGUCUGCGUCUGAUUAGCUAGUUGGUGGGGUAACGGCCUACCAAGGCGACGAUCAGUAGCCGGUCUGAGAGGAUGAACGGCCACAUUGGGACUGAGACACGGCCCAGACUCCUACGGGAGGCAGCAGUGGGGAAUCUUCCACAAUGGACGAAAGUCUGAUGGAGCAACGCCGCGUGAGUGAAAAAGGGUUUCGGCUCGUAAAGCUCUGUUGUCGGGGACGAAUGUGCAGUAUUUGAAUAAAGUACUGUAAUGACGGUACCUGACGAGGAAGCCACGGCUAACUACGUGCCAGCCGCCGCGGUAA
rnacentral:rRNA from 1 species